rnacentral:rRNA from 1 species
UACGUAGGGUGCAAGCGUUGUCCGGAAUUAUUGGGCGUAAAGAGCUUGUAGGCGGUUUGUCGCGUCUGCUGUGAAAUUUCGGGGCUCAACCCCGAACUUGCAGUGGGUACGGGCAGACUAGAGUGUGGUAGGGGAGACUGGAAUUCCUGGUGUAGCGGUGAAAUGCGCAGAUAUCAGGAGGAACACCGAUGGCGAAGGCAGCACUCUGGGACGGUACUGACGCUGAGACGCGAAAGCGUGGGGAGCAAACAGG